rnacentral:rRNA from 1 species
UACGUAGGGUGCAAGCGUUGUCCGGAAUUAUUGGGCGUAAAGAGCUCGUAGGCGGUCUGUCGCGUCUGCUGUGAAAACCCGGGGCUUAACCCCGGGCCUGCAGUGGGUACGGGCAGACUAGAGUGCGGUAGGGGAGACUGGAAUUCCUGGUGUAGCGGUGAAAUGCGCAGAUAUCAGGAGGAACACCGGUGGCGAAGGCGGGUCUCUGGGCCGUAACUGACGCUGAGGAGCGAAAGCAUGGGGAGCGAACAGGAUUAGAUACCCUAGUAGUCC